rnacentral:rRNA from 1 species
GGUCCAGACUCCUACGGGAGGCAGCAGUGGGGGAUAUUGCACAAUGGGGGGAACCCUGAUGCAGCGACGCCGCGUGGGUGAAGGAGCACCUCGGUGCGUAAAGCCCUAUCGGCAGGGAAGAAACAGACGGUACCUGACUAAGAAGCCCCGGCUAACUACGUGCCAGCAGCCGCGGUAAUACGUAGGGGGCAAGCGUUAUCCGGAUUCACUGGGUGUAAAGGGAGCGUAGACGGCGACGCAAGUCUGGAGUGAAAGCCCGGGGCCCAACCCCGGGACUGCUCUGGAAACUGCGGCGCUGGAGUACGGGAGGGGCAGGCGGAAUUCCUGGUGUAGCGGUGAAAUGCGUAGAUAUCAGGAGGAACACCGGUGGCGAAGGCGGCCUGCUGGACUGCGGCUGACGUUGAGGCCCGAAAGCGUGGGGAGCAAACAGGAUUAGAUACCCGGGUAAG